AGCAAUAGAGGGACUGAAUGCUGAAGAGGUGGAUUGAGUUUUGAUCUAGUAAUUUGCCAGUCAUCAACUGAAUUCUGUCUUCAGAGUCGUGAUGCGAUAUAAAAAUAUAUUUCCUUGAUCCCUCUGCAUCUUGGAGCUCUGCAGUCUGUCACUAUUUAGAUAUUAAUGGACUGGACCUUGAUGCACAUAGCAGAAUUUCAAAGUUUGCAGCUGAUACAAAACUUGGAAAUGCUGUGAACCAU